rnacentral:lncRNA from 1 species
GAUGAAACAGGAUUCAGAGCUCUGGCAAAUCCAUUCAUGGCGCCAUAACUCUUGGAGCUAAACCCUAAGCAUCCCAACAACCCUUGCCGGUACGGCAGACUGAUGACGAGCGUCGGUUUGAGAUGGUCUUUGUCGCGAUUGGUGCUGCGAACCAUUAAACAUUAACAGGUGUGAAGCGCCCGGUGUAGAGUUCAUCUGCCAUGUACCGUCUGUAUCUGAAACAAGCAUCCUGAAGGUUUCCUUCGGUCCAUGUUAAAGAACGAUUCCAAAUAAGUUUUUCCAUUAGCAUACAUAUGAUGACUCCUGAAUUUCUGCCAACACGAUUUGUUUGAGGAGGCCACACGAAAUCCCCUACUAUUUGCAUGGAACGCGUCUCAUUUAUUUCUGACUGUUGCCAGUACGAUAUACGUCCGAGAAACCACAAAAAUAGAGACUCAAAUUCUAGAACAAUUUGAUGUACUCUUCUGUGCACGCAAAAUGAAUCUCCGCAAUUAAUCGUGUCACAAUUAUUAGCAAAAAAAAUUCUUAAUUGUAGUGACUUUAUAUUUAUUUUAAAAAGCAACCAAUUUUGU